rnacentral:rRNA from 1 species
GACGAACGCUGGCGGCGUGCUUAACACAUGCAAGUCGAACGGGCUGGCUCUGGUUUUUUGCUGGGGUUGGUUAGUGGCGAACGGGUGAGUAACACGUGGGCAAUCUGCCCUAAAGACUGGGAUACCACUUGGAAACAGGUGCUAAUACCGGAUAACAACAUGAAUCGCAUGAUUCAAGUUUGAAAGGCGGCGUAAGCUGUCACUUUAGGAUGAGCCCGCGGCGCAUUAGCUAGUUGGUGGGGUAAAGGCCUACCAAGGCAAUGAUGCGUAGCCGAGUUGAGAGACUGAUCGGCCACAUUGGGACUGAGACACGGCCCAAACUCCUACGGGAGGCAGCAGUAGGGAAUCUUCCACAAUGGACGCAAGUCUGAUGGAGCAACGCCGCGUGAGUGAAGAAGGUCUUCGGAUCGUAAAGCUCUGUUGUUGGUGAAGAAGGAUAGAGGCAGUAACUGGUCUUUAUUUGACGGUAAUCAACCAGAAAGUCACGGCUAACUACGUG